CUGCCUCUCAAUGCCUGCGCACACGCGCUCCGAAGUACGAUGUGAUCGCGCUCCGCUUAAUGGGAGAGCAAAGCGUGGUCCAAUCGGAAGAAAUCAAUGAGAGAUUGCGCCGCGAGCUGGAAAAAAAGGGGAGGACGCCGCGAGGACAGUUGCGGUCCGGCCAUGAACAGCGGCCAAGCGCUGAGGUCUGGGAAAACCAAGACGUGGCGGGCGGCAGUCUCGGAGAUGAUCUGCUUCUUCUUGAGGGGCUGCGGGACGCCAAAGGUGUGAUUGAUCACCGCCUUCUGCACAGGGUCCAUCUAAAAGAGAAACAUCCAGAAGUUCAGGGCAGGCAGCCUUUGUUUUAGGAACGUUCCCAUUGUGUGUCGGCAGACAUCCGGAGCCUACUCGGCUCGAAAUGCCUCUUUUGUCUCAAAGAGGAGAAAAGCAGCUGAACGGAGCACAUGACGGACGGACGGAGAGAUGGACGGCGCGGCCGCACCCAACCUCGUCGGCCAUCUGUACCGAGGAGACGUCCGCUCGGGCGCGCUUUCCGUUUGCUUUUGAUCCGGUUGGAGCUCGGGCCGCAGAUGAGAUGCGGCGACAUAGCGCCUCGCUUUCUGCGGCUGUGAGGCUGCAGAGUGCUUUCUGUUUCAUUUAGUAUCUGCAGAUGGAAGCUCAGGGAGCCGACACGCACGUAAAUAAAUAUACACGGGCCACACCUGGACACCGACCGCGCCAACUUUCAGCUUGAAUUAUUCAUAGGCAGAGCACUCAGAGAGCGCAGACCAGACCUCCACCAAGGCCUGUGAAAUCAUUCAGUCAGCGUGAACCGUUUUGGAACCAAAAUGACAUCAAGGCCUAACCCUAACCCCCGCCCACACAAAAAAAAGGUCACCCUUUUUGGUGUCGCACGCGGCGCUAUUCCCGGACGAACGGAAAGCAAAACGGCAGCCAAUGUGACGUCGCUCACCGAGUUGAAGUUGGGGAAGAGGCUGAGCGGCGACGAGCCGUUGAGACGGAACGGCAGCAGGUGCUUCAGGUCCAGCCGGGGCUGCUGCAGCGGCCGUCCCGCCACGGACAGCGAGGCCACCAGCGGCCCGCCUUGUCCUGAUGUACCGGAGAAAAAGAAAAGACAAAUGUUUAUAUGACGUCCGUAUUAGGUGCAAAACUAUGUUGUUGUUGUUUUCCUCUGAUGCCAAAUAACA